rnacentral:lncRNA from 1 species
GCUCCAAAGAAGGUAAUUGCUUUUCGUUUGAUUUUGUGUUUCAAUUUCGGAAUUAUAGUUUAAACUCCAGACACUCUUUCGCAUGUUCUAGCUCCUUAUAUGAGGUUUUGAUUAAUUGAUUGAUUUAUGUGACUCGGUUUAUUAGUACGUUGAAAGUUUUAGUGAUUUAUUCUUUCUACACUAGUUGAUGUCUUUCUAGUUCUCAUUUUAUUUCCUCCGAUAUUAAGUGUGUUUCAUAUAUUAAUUUGUCUAAAUAUGUUCAUAUUUUGAAUCAUCUAUUCCAUGUCUGAUUUGUUUAGUUUGAUAAAAGUUCAAUUCGAAUUGUUUCAUGUCCAUAAGUUUUCGGUUUAGAUUAUCAGCUUUUCUAAUGAAGAAAUUUGUUAUUCAUAAGGCUCUUCUGUAUACUUUUGUUAGUAUUGCUAUUUGGUACAUCAUAGCUAAUGUGCUGGGAUGGUAGAUUUAGGAAUGGUGUUAAGGCUAUUUAUACUAAAAGGUUUAAAGUGUUUUAGAAAUACUUGGUAAUCUUCCUAAUGUCUGUGAUUCCCUUUACUAUUUCAUUGUGCGUAUAAGACCUUAACUUCACUUAUCUUGAUCUUUAGUAUCUUUAUCUAUGUGCAUGCUUAAUUACUUAUGUUUAAUUCUAAUAUGGUAGACUUGAUUCAUUUCCUGUCAGCUAAUGACUAUAUUCAAAAUAAUAUGUUUUGAGCACAUGAACUGUCAUAAAGUGUGAGGUUUCAUUUUCUUUGCGGAUUUCGGCUUAAUUCCCUGUCUCCCCAUUAUCGCUCUAAUUUUUGUGUCUUGUUAGCAUGAUCAUCCUAUUAAAUGAAGUUUCUGAAUAUUGGCAAAAUCCAUUUUUUUUUUAAAAAGUCAAAUAUAGUUGCUUUAGUAUUUGACAAAAAUAUUUUAAUACAUGACCUCUGUUUUAGAAAUACUUGGUAAUCUUCCUAAUGUCCAUGACUCCCUUUACUGCUUCAAAUAUAGUUGCUGUAGUAUUUAACAAAAAAUAUUUUAAUACAUGACCUCUAUAUAUCAUAUAUGUGUUAAAUCAAAAUAAAGUUUGAAUUGACAGGUGCUACUUUAUGUUAUUUUAUAUCAUUAAAGGGUCC